AUGCUGGCCCGCAACACUGACAUCUGCCGGGUUGUCACUCCAGGUUGGUGCACAGCCUUGUCUAUCUCGCCGGAGAUGGAGACGCAACUGCUGUUCAUGAUGAGCAAUGUGAAGUGGGGAGGCCAGAAGAGGUACCAGCUGUGGUUUGCGAGGAAGCAUUUGAUGGUGCCUGGAGGGGAGGAGAGGAUACCGGACAUUGUCCGGUUCAUAUGCUGCGGGUACCACCCGACCAAUGAGGUUAUACAGUCCGGUGUCAUUGCCCGCUGGGCGGUCAUCGGUUGGUUGCUGACUAGUUGCAGCAAGGGGUACAUUGUAGCGAAUGCGAAGUUGGCGCUGUUCUACGACUGGCUGUUUUUUGAUGAGACUAAGGGUAACGUCAUGAACAUUGAGCCCGCAAUGCUUCUGAUGUUGAACUCAAUAUCUCAGUAUGUAGAUAUCACAAACGUGCUACUUGAGUUCUUAUUUCUUCUGAUUGAGAACUAUGAGGUGCGGAGGAAGGAGGCCAUCGAGCAGUGUGUGAGGUGUGCAUUUAUAGUGCUGGUGAAGAAAGGAGUGCUCCCAUCAUUGGAGUUGUUGACAGGCUGCGAGAAGCUGUCGCCAUUACUUAGGCAGAAGCUUGUGGCAUUUUUAUCUAGUACCACUCCUGUAGCAGCUGUAGAAGCUUGCUUGAAACCGAUUAAUGAGGUUUCUAAAGCAGCAGAGUUGAAGAAGAGAGUUUGCUCCAACUAG
rnacentral:rRNA from 1 species